UAUUAUAAUAUCUAUUACAAUAAUACUUUAUAAGUAAAGAAUUUUGUUAUGCAUAAUUUAUUAUAUAACACAAAUAAUGUGUUAUACUAAAGUGUAGAAUAAUACAAAAAAAAAGUGUUAUACUAAAGUGUAGUAUAACACAAAUUUAUAAGUAUUGAAAUGUGUUAUAUAAUCGACUAUAAAUAACAUAAUUAAACACUUAUCUAUAUAUUAAAAUAACACAGAAAGUGUGUUAUCGUUGACAGUACAAUAACACAUCUGUAUAACACUGAUAAAGUGUUAUGUAAAGUACCCUGACCUACGAUAACAUAGUCGGUCUUAACACAUCAGAAUGUGUUAUCGUAUGUUUUGAUAACACAUUUUCAGUGUUAUUAAAAUCAUUUUUUCUUGUAGUGUGUUGCCUCUGCCAGGCCCGAACGACCAUCAUCCCAUCGCCGGAGCAGUACAUGUGCCAGCCCAAUCGAACCGUCGGCCCUCGAAAUGUCGACCCCGCGAGCUCACCACCACACGCGCUGCCCAGGGCUGUCGACCAACGGUCCGAAGCCGUCCGCCUCUUGUAUUGCUAUGUGUUUGUUGGCUCUUGUAUUUCCAUUUUUAGUUUGAUUAACUUCCAAUCUACAGAGAGAUGCUUUUGCUAGUACAACUAAGAAGAGGUGUUGGUUUCUUUCUUCUGACAACAUAAAGUCUUUUGUUUGUAUGGAUUUUAGAUGUCCAAGAAGAGCAAUAGGUGAGCAAGAAGCAAGAAACAGUCAUUUUUUAAGAUGGCACUCCAUCAUAAGUGGAAGACGGUCCAAUAUUCUUCAUCUUUCAAAGCUUGCUAUUGAUUGGAAGAGCUAGGUAGUUGACAGAAUGGAACAUUUUGUUUUGGAGCAAGAAAAGCAAUAUCCAUCUGGAGUAAGAUGACAACUUUCAAAUGCACAUGUAUGUUUGCUUUGCUAUGUAGCUUGGUAAAUGUGUGUGUUGCAUUUUUAUAGAUUAUCUCUUGUAUAAUAAUCUUUAUUCUCCUAUAAAUGUUUAGUAUAAUUGUCUAACCACUUUUGUUUAGAAUUCUUUCUCUGAAAUCUGUCUUGUUUUGUCGCUUGAUAUAGAAAAUAGCCUAUCGUGGCAAAAGCUAGAAUUUGUCUUUGGUAAGGACUUUCAACACUAGUUUUUAUGAAAUUGCAGUAUUUUUUUUUUUAGAGAUGUGACACUCAAAGUUCUUUGGGAUUUAAAUGUUGGUUUGAAAUUAUUUCUUCAUAGCAUGUGGACUGUCUAUAGGUUAAUUAGUAUGUGUGAGUAACUAAAUAUCUCUCCAAACUCCAAUACUAAAUCUAGACAUUAUGCAGAUUGACAUC